UGAUUGCCAUUUGGAGAGGUUACUGCAUGCAGCAGCCUUCCACUCCCCGAAAAGAGAAAAGGGCAUGGACUUUUUUUUGGGAUACUUCCACAACGAUGUGAAGGGAAGAGAAGAAAUAAGAGGGAAGGGAUCGAGAUGGCUGCCGCUGAGGUUCAGCAGGUCCUCCCCAGUCCCUUAGUUUAAUCUACCUUUCAGGUUGGCAUA
rnacentral:lncRNA from 1 species